rnacentral:rRNA from 1 species
GACAAUAAAUAACAAUAUAGGGCCCUUUCGGGUCUUAUAAUUGGGAGUGAGUACCAAUUUAAAUCCGUUAACGAGGGAACAAUUGGAGGG